AGCGAACGCUGGCGGCAGGCCUAACACAUGCAAGUCGAACGAACCUUUCGGGGUUAGUGGCGGACGGGUGAGUAACACGUGGGAACGUGCCUUUAGGUUCGGAAUAACUCAGGGAAACUCGUGCUAAUACCGAAUGUGCCCUUCGGGGGAAAGAUUUAUCGCCUUUAGAGCGGCCCGCGUCUGUUUAGCUAGUUGGUUGAGGUAAUGGCUCACCAAGGCGACGAUCAGUAGCUGGUCUGAGAGGAUGAUCAGCCACAUUGGGACUGAGACACGGCCCAAACUCCUACGGGAGGCAGCAAUGGGGAAUCUUGCGCUAUGGGCGAAAGCCUGACGCAGCCAUGCCGCGUGAAUGAUGAAGGUCUUAGGAUUGUAAAAUUCUUUCGCCGGGGACGAUGAUGACGGUACCCGGAGAAGAAGCCCCGGCUAACUUCGUG
rnacentral:rRNA from 1 species